GUUAAGUUGACUGUGAAGACGUCAAGAGGCUGAAAGGACGCUGAAAGGUGACAGACGAUUUGGCGCCCCUUUGUGAGUAGCGCCCGGGGCACGAUGCCCCCCCUUGCCACGCCCCUGGUUUGUCGCACGAAACCAGUGGAGGCUACUGUUAUCAAAAAUCAGCUAUAUUAAUUCCGCACAUAUGCAAAAAAACACAAUGGAAACUCUGCAAAAGCCGCUACAAAAUCCGCAAAGCUGCACAUGCAAGCGGCAAUAUCGGUCGGACAAUAAAAACUACAACCCUGGUUGCCAUUUACUACUAUUUACAAAAUAAAUUGCCAUCCGAUCCAA